GGCAGCGGCUCGGCAGUCCAUCGACCCCGUCUACCUCCUGUCACCGCCGAGGGCCGGUCCGGGCCCUCCCGCGGGGUAUCCCCGCUGCUGCCGGUGCCGGUGCCCCCUCCCCGGCCCGCCGGCGCUGGCUGCCCACACUUACAGGCCAUGAGCAACCUGACCUGAAGUUGAAGACCUUGAGCUGAAGGUUGUACCUGAUAACCUUGCCAUCUGCUUCUCUUAACAGACUGACACCUUGAGGACUAACAAUCUGAAGGCUUGGAAGAUCUGGGAUCACUGCUGUUGGCUUGAAGAGCAAAUCCGAAUGCAG